rnacentral:lncRNA from 1 species
UUAAAUGCAUUUAUAUAUUUAAAAUAAUAAUUAAAAAGUGUAAUAAAAAAUUACACUUUACCAAUUCUGGAAUUUCACAGAAAAUGUCACCCAACACUUAGUUUUACACAUUUUAGAUCUUGUUGUUGAAGCAAAAUGCUGAUGUUAUAGUAAGCAUCGGAUUUUCAUUGGAAAAAAGUGCUUGUGUACUCAUUUCCGUUAUACAUUGUGUGACACUCAAAUCCAUUUUAAUUUUACAUGAAAACGCACGCGGAAAAUCAUUACUAUAAAUAAAUAUUUAACAAGAAAAUAGUGAAAUAAAUUUUUAUUUAAACAUACUUUACUCAAAAUAACAUUUUAACUAUAGCUAAAUUAAAAACAUUUGACUCGCCAUUCGACCUUCCACGCGCCUCCGGUCUUUAAAAACCUGAAAAUGUUAAAUAUGGGAUGAGCAUACAGGGUACACUCAGUGUGGGAACAUGCAAUCAUUGUCCAAGAUAAUAACACAGUAAACACAUACGGUCACUUCAUAUAUAUCCUCAAUAUUCGCACUGUGGCAAUCCAAGGACUAUUAAAGUCCCGGACCCUAUUUACGGGCCCCUGGUGACAUCCUCAAAAUAUACCUCAAAUCGCAUUGUGGCAACCCAAGGACGGUGAAGUCCUGGACCCUAUUUACGGGCCCCUAGCGAUAUCCUCAAAAUAUACGUCAUAACACAUAUGGUAAACACAUAUUAUUAAAAUGGACAAGAAUUAACCACAGCAUGUACUAAAAUAAAUCUCACACCUGAAAUUUGAGCUUUGAAAAUCAACUUGAGUAAUUCAAAUCAAAAUCGACGUCUUAGUUGCCCGUACCUAAUUACAAUUAAUAAAAGAAUAGAAAAACUUAAUUAUUAUAAAUAUACAUACUCGUGCGUCUGUGCGUGUGUUAAUAUAUCACUAAAUUAUAUAAGAACUAGCAAGGUAAGAAAAUUACCUUAGUGUAUUAUCAAAUAUUUAGUUAGUGAUGAU